rnacentral:misc_RNA from 1 species
UCUCCGUUGGUGAACCAGCGGAGGGAUCAUUACCGAGUUCACAACUCCCAAACCCCUAUGUGAACGUUACCAAACUGUUGCCUCGGCGGGAAAUUCAUGCCCCGGGCGCGUCGCAGCCCCGGACCAAGGCGCCCGCCGGAGGACCAACCAAAACUCUUUUGUAUGUCCCUCGCGGACUUUUAUAAUUCUGAACCAUCUCGGCGCCCCUAGCGGGCGUUUCGAAAAUGAAUCAAAACUUUCAACAACGGAUCUCUUGGUUCUG